AUUGAACGCUGGCGGCAUGCUUUACACAUGCAAGUCGAACGGCAGCGCGGGGCAACCUGGCGGCGAGUGGCGAACGGGUGAGUAAUAUAUCGGAACGUACCCAGAAGUGGGGGAUAACGUAGCGAAAGUUACGCUAAUACCGCAUACGAUCUACGGAUGAAAGUAGGGGACCGCAAGGCCUUAUGCUUUUGGAGCGGCCGAUAUCUGAUUAGCUAGUUGGUGAGGUAAAGGCUCACCAAGGCGACGAUCAGUAGCUGGUCUGAGAGGACGACCAGCCACACUGGAACUGAGACACGGUCCAGACUCCUACGGGAGGCAGCAGUGGGGAAUUUUGGACAAUGGGCGCAAGCCUGAUCCAGCAAUGCCGCGUGAGUGAAGAAGGCCUUCGGGUUGUAAAGCUCUUUUGUCAGGGAAGAAACGGUAGAGGCUAAUAUCCUUUGCUAAUGACGGUACCAGAAGAAUAAGCACCGGCUAACUACGUG
rnacentral:rRNA from 1 species